rnacentral:rRNA from 1 species
UACGGGGGGUGCGAGCGUUGUCCGGAAUCACUGGGCGUAAAGCGCACGUAGGCGGACUCUUAAGUCGGUGGUGAAAUCCUGGAGCUCAACUCCAGAACUGCCUUCGAUACUGAGAGUCUUGAGUCCGGGAGAGGUGAGUGGAACUGCGAGUGUAGAGGUGGAAAUUCGAUUAGAUAUUCGCAAGAACACCAGUGGCGAAGGCGGCUCACUGGCCCGGUACUGACGCUGAGGUGCGAAGGCGUGGGGAGCAAACAGG